GUGAGAGUUUGUGUGAGUGUUAGUGUGAGUGUUAGAGUGUUAGAGUGAGUGUUAGUGUUAGAGUGAGUGUUAGUGUUAGAGUGAGUGUUAGAGUGAGUGUGAGUGUUAGUGUUAGAGUGAGUGUUAGAGUGUGUGUCUGCUAGUGAGUGUUAGUGUGAGUGCUAGUGAGUGUGAGUGUUAGAGUGAGUGUUAGUGUGUGUGAGUGUUAGAGUGAGUGUGAGUGUUAAAAAGGGUUAAAAAUAGAGGGACCUGACACCCAGACAACUUCAUUGAGCUGAUAUGAUCUGGGUGUCUGUAGUGGUCCUUUAAGUGUGUGUGCAUCUGCAUGCACUGGCGUACAUACCGCGGUCGCAAGGGUCGCAGCCCUGUAACCCCUGCGACCAGGUGCCCACCACCAUGUGUUGCGGUCCGGCCUGCGCGCGGGGGGCGGCCACGGAUCAAUUUUCACACCGGGGCCCCAUGGGUCAUGUGUACGCCACGGUUUAUGUGCAAACAAUACAUCUCUUGCCUCAAAUAAAUGCUAUGCUAAUAUUUUUUCAAUGAAAAAGUGCUUGGUAGUGAAGGGUUAGGGUUAAAU